rnacentral:lncRNA from 1 species
UUUAACGUUGCGAGGGAGGACGGCAAAGCAGCGCGGGGACAGAUCCGUCCCUUCUGCGUGUGCCUGUGUGGGCAGGGCACGUCCUCCUUGCGCUGGCACCGCUCGCGCGGAAGAGCGAGCUGGAAUUCUCGCCACUUCCGAACUCCGGGAUUCCUCCAGACUUUCUCUGAAACCUGACAAGCUACUGCCUUGGUACCCGGAGCACAGGAGGUUGGACCAUGAGGAGCCAUCACGCUGCAGGACACUGAGGGCGAGGAGAACUCCUCUGUGAGAAAGGUGACACGAAAGCCCGAGCCCGAAGGGGAGCAGAGGGACGGCCGCCGGCC